GCUACAGUAAUGAUGUAGCAGAAAGGGAAAAUUAGAAAAAUUAAAAUAAAAUCAGUGCAGAACUGACAGAAAUUUGCAGAAUUAGAAAGAAGUUUAAAUGCUCAGGUUGCUUUCUUAAGUGAAACUUCCCAAGUUAGCUUUCCCAAUUCCAUUAUAAUUAAGCAUCCUCUCCUCCUCGGCAAAAUGUCAUUGGUGUCCAAGAGCGUGCAAGAAAUGUCGUUUGCCGGUGAUGAACCACCGCCUGAAUACAUUGUCAAUGGAUGCAAUUUUGCUCCUUCGGAUUUAUCCUCCUGCUCCUUCUCAUCUCUGUUUCCUGUUAUUGAUAUCAGUCUCUUCUCCUCGUCUUCUGCUCACAACAGCAAGGAGGAAGUAGACAAUGCAUUGGAAACACUGAGAUCAGCUCUCAGCUCAACGGGGUGCUUCCAGGCGAUAGGACAUGGUAUGUCAAGUUCAUUCCUUGACAAGGUACGUGAAGUGGCCAUUCAGUUUUUUGAACUUCCAGUUGAAGAGAAGCAGAAAUAUGCCCGUGCUGUGAAUGAGUCUGAAGGGUAUGGGAGUGACAUGAUAGUUUCAGCAAAUCAAGUUCUUGACUGGUCUCAUCGCCUCAGUCUCAGGGUAUUUCCUGAAGAACGAAGAAGGAACAAUCUUUGGCCAGAAAACCCUAAUGAUUUCAGAGAGACCUUGCUGGAAUAUGCCCUGAAGACAAAGUCUGUGAUGGAUCUUCUCUAUAAGGCCAUGGCGAGGUCACUGAAUUUGGAAGAGAACAGCUUCUCCGGCCAGUUUGGUGAACGAUCCCUAAUGCAAGCCAGAUUCAACUUCUAUCCAAGGUGUUCAAGACCUGAUUUGGUUCAUGGUGUCAAACCUCACACUGAUAGAUCAGGCAUUACAAUUCUCUUGCAAGACAGAGAAGUUGAAGGCCUUCAAAUUUUAGCAAAUAACAAAUGGGCUAGAGUUCCUGUAAUUCCUGAUGCUCUUGUCGUCAAUCUCGGAGAUCAAAUGCAGAUAAUGAGUAAUGGAGUAUUCAGAAGCCCAAUGCACAGGGUAGUGACAAACACAGAAAGGUUGAGGACAUCUGUGGCCUUAUUCCAUGAACCAGAGCCAGAAAAAGAGAUUGGGCCUGUGGAUAGCUUGGUGAAUGAGCAAAGACCAAGAUUAUACAGACAUGUGAAAAAUUAUGGUUUUAUCAACUAUGAGUGCUACCAGAAAGGGAUAGUAGCAAUUGACACUGUGAAAAUAUAAUCCUCCACUCUUCUAGCAAUCUACUGUUGAAUGUAUCAAAACUAUAUGAUUAUGAUCCUAAUGUAAUAAUGUCACAAACUCCUUGGAUUCUAAAUUCAUUGCAGCUCUAGGAGACUAUUUCCCUAGCUAUCUUGUCCGUUCUCGAUAUCAGGCUUUUCUAAAGCCCAAAAGGGCUCAAUGGAAGUUUGUCAAUGCAGCUCUACUGUAUCAGCAUUUCCUGAUCAAAA
rnacentral:misc_RNA from 1 species